AGAAAAUAGGCUGUCUAGAGGGGCGGUCUAGAGGAUCCAUAUAUGGCAGUAAAUAUAUCGUAUGAAUUUGUUAAACAUAAGUUUAGUUGGCUCACGGAAAACUAAUCAACGCAUCAUAUUGAUUACCAAGGUAAAGAGAUAUAUAAAUACACGGUGACAAGCAUUAUUCUCACAAUCAAUAAUACUUACAAUACGAUUGGCCAAAUGUGGCACUGUAGAUUGCAUAUUUGGGUUUCUCUGCUCCUGUUCACCAUUUCAAAAUGCUUUCGAUCCCGUUUCCCUUUUUCUCGUUUCUUUUAUUCCUUUUCCUGUUUUGUUUGGAUCCAUUUAAUGCCUUUUCCAUUCAGACAGUUCUCACAUGCUUUUCUUCUUACGCGCCCCGAGUGUUACUUAAUUUCUUUGUUUCCUUCCUCAGGUCUCCUUCGUUCCCUUUUCGUUCUGUAAGCUUUUCGCGUUCUCCU
rnacentral:lncRNA from 1 species